rnacentral:misc_RNA from 1 species
GAUGAAGAACGUAGCGAAAUGCGAUAAUUAAUGUGAAUUACAGAAUUCCGUGAAUCAUCGAGUCUUUGAACGCACAUUGCGCCUCAUGGCAUUCCGUGAGGCAUGCCCAUCUCAGCGUUAGAAAAUAUUCUCAAAUUUUAGUUUUGUGCUAAAAUUUGGAUCAUGUCAAGGAAGCUAUUACUAUUAUUGUGAUCGCUCUUUGGAAAUUGAUAGGUCUUUGAGUUGCUACUCAUAGAACGUGAUGAAUCUUUCUUCGUUCUAUUGUAAUUCACUCUGGUAGUCCUAAAACUUGUAUGCCUGUGGCAUAUCUUGUAAUUUGACCUGAGAUUGGGUAGGGAUACCCGCUGAACUUAAGCAUAUCAAUAAGCGGAGGA